rnacentral:SRP_RNA from 1 species
GCGGAGGAGUUCGACAUCUCCUUCGACCUGACAUUGCACAAAGACACAUCGGAUCCCAUGAGCCCCAUCAUGCGCUUCACCAGCACGAUCGGGAAUUCUGGCCGUGAGGGCGACCGUAUGCCGGCGUUCAUGUUGGAGGGCGGCAAGGAAGCGCGGUUGA